rnacentral:rRNA from 1 species
UGAAAGUGUAGUUUUUAAAUCAAAUGAUUAAUAGUUAUGUUCUUUAAAGUUAAAUAUUUUGGCGGUAUCUUAGUCUUUUCAGAGGAACCUGUUCUAUAAUUGAUAAUCCACGUUUGAUAAUACUUUAGUUAGAAAUUUACAUAUCGUUGUUAUAGAGUAUUUUAAAAGAGAAUUAAUACUUUAAACUUAUAAUUUUAAAGAAGAUCAGAUCAAGAUGUAGUUAAUAUUAAAGAAGAAAUGGGUUACAAUAAAUAAAUUUCUGGAUAUUUAAUUGAAAAUUAAGUUGAAAUUGGAUUUGAAAGUAAUUAAUUUUUCAUUAUUUUAAUGAGUUAGUUCUAAGAUAUGU